UUCCGAACAUUCGGACCGUCGGUCUAACGAGCAAUAUCACCCGCUCGGUGGAAGAUCUUUCCUUUGUCGUAUACC
rnacentral:pre_miRNA from 1 species